ACAGAGAGAGACAGCUGCCCUUCACAUCAGUACAGAGAGAGAGAGACAGCUGCCCUUCACAUCAGUACACAGAGAGAGAGAGAGACAGCAGCCCUUCACAUCAGUACAGAGAGAGAGAGACAGCUGCCCUUCACACCAGUACAGAGAGAGAGACAGCUGCCUUUCACAUCAGUACAGAGAGAGAGACAGCAGCCCUUCACAUCAGUACAGAGAGAGAGAGACAGCUGCCAUUCACACCAGUACAGAGAGAGAGACAGCUGCCCUUCACACCAGUACAGAGAGAGAGACAGCUGCCCUUCACAUCAGUACAGAGAGAGAGAGACAGCUGCCCUUCACAUCAGUACAGAGAGAGAGACAGCUGCCUUUCACAUCAGUACAGAGAGAGAGACAGCUGCCCUUCACAUCAGUACAGAGAGAGAGAGAGACAGCUGCCCUUCACAUCAGUACAGAGAGAGAGACAGCUGCCCUUCACAUCAGUACAGAGAGAGAGCGACAGCAGCCCUUCACAUCAGUACAGAGAGAGAGACAGCUGCCCUUCACAUCAGUACAGAGAGAGAGAGACAGCAGCCCUUCACAUCAGUACAGAGAGAGAGACAGCUGUCCUCCACAUCAGUACAGAGAGAGAGAGAGAGACAGCUGCCCUUCACAUCAGUACAGAAAAAGAGACAGCUGCCCUUCAUAUCAGUACAGAGAGAGAGACAGCUGCCCUUCAUAUCAGUACAGAGAGAGAGACAGCUGCCCUUCACAUCAGUACAGAGAGAGAGAGACAGCUGCCCUUCACAUCAGUACAGAGAGAGAGAGAGACAGCAGCCCUUCACAUCAGUACAGAGAGAGAGACAGCUGCUCUUCACAUCAGUACAGAGAGAGAGAGAGAGACAGCAGCCCUUCACAUCAGUACAGAGAGAGACAGCUGCUCACAUCUACAGAGACAGAGAUCCAGCUCUAAUCCCACACAGAGACAGAGAUCCAGCUCUAAUCCCACACAGAGACAGAGAUCCAGCUCUAAUCCCACACAGAGACAGAGAUCCAGGUCUAAUCCCACACAGAGACAGAGAUCCAGCUCUAAUCCCACACGGAGACAGAGAUCCAGCUCUAAUCCCCCACAGAGACAGAGAUCCAGCUCUAAUCCCACACAGAGACAGAGAUCCAGCUCCAAUCCCACACAGAGACAGAGAUCCAGCUCUAAUCCCACGCAGAGACAGAGAUCCAGCUUUAAUCCCACACAGAGACAGAGAUCCAGCUCUAAUCCCACACGGAGACAGAGAUCCAGCUCUAAUCCCCCACGGAGACAGAGAUCCAGCUCUAAUCCCACACAGAGACAGAGAUCCAGCUCUAAUCCCACGCAGAGACAGAGAUCCAGCUCUAAUCCCACACAGAGACAGAGAUCCAACUCUAAUCCCACACAGAGACAGAGAUCCAGCUCUAAUCCCACACAGAGACAGAGAUCCAGCUCUAAUCCCACACAGAGACAGAGAUCCAGCUCUAAUCCCACACAGAGACAGAUUAAUGUUAAAGCUGCUUUCAACCCUUAAACUGACUUUCAGCACCCAACGACAAGCUACCGAGCAUUUAGACAUUUAG
rnacentral:lncRNA from 8 species